AUAAUACUCUCUCCGUCCGGAAAAGUUUGUCCCAAGCUUGUUCCUUAAAUGGAUGUAUGUAGCACUAACUUGGUGCUAGAUACAUUCAUUUGAGGGACAAGCUUUUUGGACGGAGGGAGUACAUA
rnacentral:pre_miRNA from 1 species